GGGUUGGGGUAGUCCGUACGAGCGCACCCUUGUCCUUAGUUACCAGCACGUUAAGGUGGGCACUCUAAGCAGAUCGCCGGUGACAAACCGGAGGAAGGUGGGGAUGACGUCAAGUCAUCAUGGCCCUUACGGCCUGGGCUACACACGUGCUACAAUGGUCGGUACAAAGGGUUGCCAAGCCGCGAGGUGGAGCUAAUCCCAUAAAACCGAUCGUAGUCCGGAUCGCAGUCUGCAACUCGACUGCGUGAAGUCGGAAUCGCUAGUAAUCGUGAAUCAGAAUGUCACGGUGAAUACGUUCCCGGGCCUUGUACACACCGCCCGUGGGGCGGGGGCGGCGGGCCGGGCGCGGG
rnacentral:rRNA from 1 species